rnacentral:rRNA from 1 species
ACUCCUACGGGAGGCAUCAGUGGGGAAUAUUGCACAAUGGGGGAAACCCUGAUGCAGCGACGCCGCGUGAAGGAAGAAGUAUCUCGGUAUGUAAACUUCUAUCAGCAGGGAAGAAAAUGACGGUACCUGACUAAGAAGCCCCGGCUAACUACGUGCCAGCAGCCGCGGUAAUAC